rnacentral:rRNA from 1 species
GAUAAACGCUAGCGGCAGGCUUAACACAUGCAAGUCGAGGGGCAGCAUAGAUUGUAGCAAUACAAUUGGUGGCGACCGGCGCACGGGUGCGUAACGCGUAUGCAACCUACCCGUCACAGGGGGAUAAUCCGGAGAAAUCUGGUCUAAUACCCCAUAACAUAUGGAUCGGCAUCGGUUCAUGUUGAAAUUUUCGGAGGUGACGGAUGGGCAUGCGUAGCAUUAGCUUGUUGGUGAGGUAACGGCUCACCAAGGCGACGAUGCUUAGGGGGACUGAGAGGUUUUCCCCCCACACUGGUACUGAGACACGGACCAGACUCCUACGGGAGGCAGCAGUGAGGAAUAUUGGUCAAUGGACGCAAGUCUGAACCAGCCAUGCCGCGUGCAGGAAGACGGCUCUAUGAGUUGUAAACUGCUUUUGCAAGAGGAUAAUUGCGGGUACGUGUACCCGCUUGAAGGUACCUUGCGAAUAAGGAUCGGCUAACUCCGUGCCAGCAGCCGCCGUAA